rnacentral:rRNA from 1 species
UACGGAGGAUCCAAGCGUUAUCCGGAUUUAUUGGGUUUAAAGGGUGCGUAGGCGGUUUUAUAAGUUAGAGGUGAAAAUUCGGGGCUCAACUCCGGACGUGCCUCUAAUACUGUAUGACUAGAGAAUAGAUGCGGUAGGCGGAAUGUAUGGUGUAGCGGUGAAAUGCGUAGAGAUCAUACAGAACACCGAUUGCGAAGGCAUCUCACGAAUCCGCGAUUGACGCUGAUGCACGAAAGCGUGGGUAUCAAACAGG